AAAAAGAUAAGCUAAUUAAAGCUAUUGGGUUCAUACCCCGACUAUGGGGGUUUAAUCCCCCUCUUUUUA
rnacentral:tRNA from 1 species